ensembl:snRNA U6 U6 spliceosomal RNA
GUGCUCACUUUGGUAGCACAUAUACUAAAAUGGGAACACAGAAAAUUAGCAUGGCCUCUGUGCAAGGAUGAUGCGCAAAUUCAGGAAGCGUUCCGUAUUUUU